GGAAUGUGGCUUAGUGGUAGAGCACCUUCCUGGCACGUGUGAGGCACUGAGUUCAAUCCUCAGCACCA
rnacentral:tRNA from 1 species